UGGGGAAUAUUGCACAAUGGGGGAAACCCUGAUGCAGCGACGCCGCGUGAGCGAAGAAGGCUUUCGAGUCGUGAAGCUCUGUCCUAUGAGAAGAUAAUGACGGUAUCAUAGGAGGAAGCCCUGGCUAAAUACGUGCCAGCAGCCGCGGUAAUACGUAUGGGGCGAGCGUUGUCCGGAAUUAUUGGGCGUAAAGGGUACGUAGGCGGUUUUUUAAGUCAGGUGUCAAAGCGUGGAGCUUAACUCCAUUAAGCACUUGAAACUGAAAGACUUGAGUGAAGGAGAGGAAAGUGGAAUUCCUAGUGUAGCGGUGAAAUGCGUAGAUAUUAGGAGGAAUACCGGUGGCGAAGGCGACUUUCUGGACUUUUACUGACGCUCAGGUACGAAAGCGUGGGGAGCAAACAGG
rnacentral:rRNA from 1 species